GAUGAACGCUGGCGGCGUGCCUAAUACAUGCAAGUCGAGCGAACGGACGAGUAGCUUGCUUUUCUGAUGUUAGCGGCGGACGUGUGAGUAACACGUGGAUAACCUACCUAUACGACUUGGCUAACUUCGGGAAACCGGAGCUAAUACCUUAUAAUAUUUUGAACCGCAUGGUUCAUGAGUGAAAGACGGUCUUGCUAUCACUUAUAGAUUGAUCCGCGCGGACUUAUCUAUUUGGUAAGGUAACGGCUUACCAAGGCAACGAUGCAUAGCAGACAUGAGAGGGUGGACGACAACACGGGAACUGAGACACGGUCAAGACUCCUAGGGGAGGAAGCAGUAGGGAAUCUUACGCAAGGGGGGAAAGCCUGACGGAGCAACGCGGCGUGAGUGAUGAAGGUGUUAGGAUGGGAAAACGCAGUUAUAAGGGAGGAACAUAUGUGUAAGUAACAGUGCACAUCUUGACGGUACCUAAACAGAAAGCCACGGCUAACUACGUG
rnacentral:rRNA from 1 species